GGCAGCAAUUGACAGCGCUCUGAUCCAAUGGCAUACAGGCAUCGUCAGAUCGACAGUACUCUAGCCCAAUGAUGUUGGGGAUCCAGUGGGGGCGGCAGUCAUAUUUCAGGGUGACCGUGCCACUCUUUAUCACAACCCUGCUAAAAUAUAGUGCCAGUACGUGCGCUCAUUGGCGCCCCUUCAGCUGGUGGCGCCCUAGGCGACCGCCUAGCUUGCCUAUGCAAGUACAGAAACGUCCGUAUCCGAUCAGAUGGUGGAUCAGCACCAAGAGAUGAUGUCUACAGCCCUGAUCGUCAGCGGAGACCAGGACACCCAGAUGAGCCCCAGAGACAUUUCCCCAGUGAAGACCUCGAUUAAAAUACAAUAAAACUAAAAAUAUAAUAAAAUACCUAACUACAUAAUACUACUAUUGUUAGAAAUUGCAACAAAAUUAAAAUAGAAAUAUAAACUUUUGAACUGCGGGUUUCGUCUGGCCAGAGGAGAACUGGCCCCCCGACUGAGCCUGGUUUCUCCCAAGGUUUUUUUCUCCAUUCUGUCACAGAGGGAGUUUUGGUUCCUUGCCGCUGUCGCCUCUGGCUUGCUCAGUUGGGGACACUUCAUUUCUAGCGAUUAUCGUCGAUUUGAUUGCACAGAUACUAUUUGAACUAAACUGAGCUAGACAAUGACAUCUCUGAAUUCAAUAAUGAAAUGCCUUUAACUGAAAAUUGAGUGUUUAUUCUUAUUAUUAUACAUUACUGACACUCUAUCUUCCAAUUUGAUACACUGUUAAGUGCUUUGACACAAUCUGUAUUGUUAAAAGCGCUAUAUAAAUAUAGGUGACUUGACUUGACUAACGUAGGAAUACUGAAAAAGAAAUAUUGACCAUAAAAAGUUUUUUUUUAAUUAUUUUUUUUAAACAUAAAGACAUUUUCUUACAUAGUCAUUCAAAGCUAAUCUCUUCAUAUGUAGGCUAAUUAAACAAUGAACGGACAAUUAAAAAAAAAAAAAAAACGUAUCACAUUAAGUUACAUCUAAAUGUUACAAUAUAAUAAAAUUUGGGGUCGGUUUUAAUAUAUGUUAAAAUGUAAUUUAUUCCUCGUGUUCAAGUCCUCAGUGUCACAUGAUCCUUCAGAAAGAUCUUGAUAUGCUGAUUUGGUGCUCAGAAACAUUUCUUAUUAUUAUCAUCAGUGUUGAAAACAUAUUUUAGUGAAAACAGGAUGUGUUUAGAAAACUUAAUUUAUUUCAAAUAAAAUUCUUUUAUUAAAAAUGUA